rnacentral:rRNA from 1 species
UACGGAGGAUCCGAGCGUUACCCGGAUUUAUUGGGUUUAAAGGGUGCGUAGGCGGCUUAUUAAGUCAGGGGUGAAAGACGGUGGCUCAACCAUCGCAGUGCCUUUGAUACUGAUGAGCUUGAAUGAACUAGAGGUAGGCGGAAUGUGACAAGUAGCGGUGAAAUGCAUAGAUAUGUCACAGAACACCGAUUGCGAAGGCAGCUUACUAUGGUUUUAUUGACGCUGAGGCACGAAAGCGUGGGGAUCAAACAGG